AUCUAAUGACACCAUAUUCGAAUCAAGGGGAUACAGGUUAUCAAAUUCAAGAAGCAAUCUCAGCAGUGAAAUGAUCAAUCUCGAUGCACUUGAUUCCCAAGAAUUUCUAUUAAGAAGGCUUGUUAGAGGAGAUGAUCGUGUUCAGUUCGAUUCCAAUGGAUUUUCAUGCCACACCGAUUAUCAUUACGAUCUAUGCGUUGCAAAUAAACCUGUGAGGAUUUACAACAAAGGGUUAACAGUUUAUGCGCCGCAUGAUCAUCAACCUCAAGUCUAGAGAGUUGUCAGGCCGUACGCAAGGAAGGAAGACGAAACCGCCAUGAAGAGCGUCUCGCCGGUC